GGACUCAUCAAACAUAUUUUGCUUUGACCCUGAAAAUUCUAUCGUUGACCUACUCAUAUCAGAGUGAACCCCAGCAGAGCACUGAUCAAUGCUAGAAAUUUCUAAGGCAGUUCCCUGGUCCGUGAUUGGCUGGAUACAACUUCUACAAGUAUUGUUAGAUACCUGUAAAUUACUAUCAUCAGCAGAACAGGACUCGCUGCAGAAACUCUCACCACCUAUUUUAUUUGUGGCCACAUCAGGUACUGUGCAUGUCUUAUCCAGCAACCGACUCUCAGAGAAAAUUUGAGGUAUAUCUAGCAGACCAUUGCUUGUUGCUUCACGGACA
rnacentral:lncRNA from 1 species